UUGCCUGCGUGGUGACGUAGCGCGUUGCCGUGGGGCGGGACGGUUGGUGGGAGCAUCGCCGGGAGCUGGGGAUGGGGCAGCCGCAGCCAGAGCAGCCGGGGACCGGGUGCCGCUUCCCGCCCCUGAGCCGGUUAUCAUCCUACUUCAGUGAUCCUGGCAAUUCUUUUCUUAAUUGCCUCAUUAGCAAUGUGAAUCUGAGCUUCUGUUCAAUGGAGGGGUUCCUACCAGUCAGCCAUGCGUAA
rnacentral:lncRNA from 1 species